rnacentral:rRNA from 1 species
CCUACGGGAGGCAGCAGUGGGGAAUAUUGCACAAUGGGCGCAAGCCUGAUGCAGCCAUGCCGCGUGUGUGAAGAAGGCCUUCGGGUUGUAAAGCACUUUCAGCGGGGAGGAAGUCGGUGAGGUUAAUAACCUCAUCGAUUGACGUUACCCGCAGAAGAAGCACCGGCUAACUCCGUGCCAGCAGCCGCGGUAAUACGGAGGGUGCAAGCGUUAAUCGGAAUUACUGGGCGUAAAGCGCACGCAGGCGGUCUGUCAAGUCGGAUGUGAAAUCCCCGGGCUCAACCUGGGAACUGCAUUCGAAACUGGCAGGCUAGAGUCUUGUAGGGGGGGGUAGAAUUCCAGGUGUAGCGGUGAAAUGCGUAGAGAUCUGGAGGAAUACCGGUGGCGAAGGCGGCCCCCUGGACAAAGACUGACGCUCAGGUGCGAAAGCGUGGGGAGCAAACAGGAUUAGAUACCCGGGUAGUC